AGAGCGGCUGGGAAUAGCCCUGGUGCGCACUCCCUGAUCUCUCCUUGCGUCCGUAAGCCGUGGCUGAAGAGGAGAUCUAUUUUCUAACUGCCUGGGAUGAAAGAGUCCAAGCCAACAAUUCUUUCAGUCUUUCCCAAUUACACGAGGACAAACCGAAUUGGCACAUCCUAAAAGAAGAUAAGACCAAUAGGUUUCACACAGACUUGCUGCGUAGGCACAAUUGAUCUGAGCAUUUGCAGCACAUCUGAUGUACUGAGGGUCGAGUGAACCCUCUGGAUGUGCAGAUGAUUUUUAAAAGCAGUAAUGGACCAUCUAAAGCAGUAGGGUUGGGAUGCCUGCGUCCACCCCCUACGAGAAAUAUGGAUGUAUUUGUAUUUUUACUGUGCUUCACUUUCAGAUCAGGAAUGCUGGAUGCCAGUUUCCCGGCUCCGGCAGCGAUGGCAGAAGGUGUAUUUGUUGCACAAAGUCUUUUGUCAGGGUCAGGCAGCGGUGAGGCUAAUUGUACACCUCUUGGCUACCCUCUGGUUCUCAAAAUAAAUAAAUAAAACUACCAAUUCAGAGGGGUUGUAAAAGAAAACCUGCGGUGUGAUUUUAAAAUCCAGAGAAAAUAACUGUGGGAAUGUGGAUGCAUGCCUGGUCUGUGUGCUUUCAACCCCACUUAAAAGAGAACUGGUCCUAAGUUGUUGCUUUGCUGCGCUCAUUACAGCUCAGUGCUCUCCCCAGGCAUGUGUAUUCACUCAGAGCACAAACAGCUGUCAGUCCAUGCUCGCCAAGAUUUCCUGUGUGGAGUAAUACUUCUGCAGUUAUUCCAAGGUGCUUUUCCCAAGGGUAAACAUUACAUCUCAAAUCAGGAGUAAAUACAGCAAAGGAAGGGGAGAAUGUCAGAAUGUGAUUUUGCCUUGGCAGGGAAUGACUUCAAAGCUUUCUCAUACAUUGUCUAAAGGAAUAAACUUUUUUCUCUCUCUCUAAUUUUUCCUCUGGAAAUGAAUGAGAAGGCUAGAAGGCAUAUAUUCAAAUGAAUAAAUUUUCUGU
ensembl:lncRNA